UCCUACGGGGGGCAGCAGUGAGGAAUAUUGGUCAAUGGGCUUACGCCUGAACCGGCCAAGUCGCGUGAGGGAAGACUGCCAUAUGGGUUGUAAACCUCUUUUGUCAGGGAGCAACGCCGGCUACGUGUAGCCGGACUGAGAGUACCCGAAGAAAAAGCAUCGGCUAACUCCGUGCCAGCAGCCGCGGUAAUACGGAGGAUGCGAGCGUUAUCCGGAUUUAUUGGGUUUAAAGGGUGCGUAGGCGGAAUGCCAAGUCAGCGGUAAAAUCGCGGGGCUCAACCUCGCUCCGCCGUUGAAACUGGCGU
rnacentral:rRNA from 1 species